UCGUCGGGCCGACGAUACAUUGAGCGGGGGUGGAUUGUAGCGGUGUGGAAUAGUGCACCUGUGCCUUUAAGGGCUCUACUCUCCAGUCGUUGUCAUUAGUAAACUGAGUGGACACAGCGGGGUGGGCUCUUUAUAAGGUGACUGCCACCGUGGGCCAGGUAUGCAGCAGGGGUUGAGCUAGUCGUUUGGCUUUUCCGGUGGUGGUGACUCUUCCGGUCAUUAGGCUGUUCCGGUCGGUGGUUCUCUCCUGGGUGGCAGCCGGUUUUGAGAUUUCGCUCCGGUACAGAGGAUUAUCGAUCGCUCUGCGUUGUGUUGUGUUGUGCUGUGCUGUGCUGUGCUUUGCACUGGGUGCGUUCUAAGGGCUUUGCGCCCCUGAGUGUUUUUGAUCAUCGUGACCGCAGGUACUCCAUUUCGUUGCUCUGAACUUUACACUUUACUUGUCAUAGUCAUGUGAACUCUCGAAACUGCUGUAACAUCCACUUCAUUUUAGUCACAUAGGUCUCGUGGGCAGACUCGUUCCCCCCCCCUCCCCACGCAUUGUUUGGUCGUCGUCCAGUGUGUGUGCUAACCCUUUCCGCUGUGGUUGUAGGGUGCUGAUCGCCAGGGUCAUCCUUUGCUUGCUGCUGUUUUGCCUCUGUUUGUUCUUCCUUAUUGAUUGCCGUGUCUUGUCAUUGUGUCUUGGUGUAAGAGUGUUGUCUUUUGUUUUUAUGUGCUUUUGUCCUUUUGUGACUUUUCUUUCUGUACUU